UAAGUGUCGCCAAGAGGCGAUGUUACGGACAUGCAGAAGUCAGCAGAGGGCAUAGUAGGCCUGCAGUUCGACCAGGCCGAAGGCC
rnacentral:ncRNA from 1 species